rnacentral:lncRNA from 1 species
GGUCCGAGGCUGCUGAGCCUUGUCGGGGAGCAGGGGACCUGUGGCUGAGUCCUGCCUUUUGCAGGCUGCCCCAGGACAGGGCACGCAGGCAAACACAGGGCUGGGCUCAAUGGGAUGGGGACAGAUUCUAGCUCAGUCAAUCAGAAUGUUCUCUAUUGAGAUAGUUUUUUGUUUGCGAAAAUCCUCAACUUUGGCGACCACCACGAGGUGCUUUAUGUUAUGGCGUGUUCUCCCAUGAGUGAGGCAUGGUUGUCCCAUCCCACAGAUGAAGAAGGGAAGUCACUUGCUUCACGGCCAGGGAAGGGCUCCAGCGAGACAUGGGCUUCUGAAAUUGGAGCUGGAUGAUGCCAAGGUGACCUUGGUGGCCACAUGUCAAAGAUGGAGGUGCACGAAAUGGAAGGAACCUAGAUCCCUGAAUGACUGUGUGGAGCUGAGUCCCUGCAUUGGAUGGUGACAUGAGGGGAAAUGAGGCCUUGCUAUCUUGCCUGGUCUUGAAAUCCUGUGUCCAUGUGACCCUCCAACCUCAGCCUCCCAAGUAGCUGGACUACAGGUAUGGGCUGCUGUGCUUGGCUGCACUUUUAAAAUGGAAUGCUUUGAGGCAUGAAAGUUUUAAAUUUUUAAUGAGAUCCAAUUUAUCAAUUUUUUUCCUUUGGUUACUUGUGCUUUAGGUGUCACGUAUAAGAAACUGUCACCUAAUUCAAGAUUGCCAGCAUCUAUUCCUGUGUUUUCUUCUCAGGGUUUUACAGUUUCAGCUCUUACAUGUAGGAAUUUGACCCAUUCUGAGUUAAGUUUUGUAUAUGGUGUGAGUUAGGGGUCCAAAUUGAUUCUUUUGCAUGUGGAUUUGCUGUUGCCCCAGGACCAUUUGUUGAAAAGACUAUUCUUUCUCUGUUGAAUUAUCUUGACAUUUGUGUUAAAUAUCAAUUGAUCAUAGAUGCAUGGAUUUAUUUCUGGGCUUUUAAUUCUUUUCCAUUUAUCUAUAUAUUUGUUCUUAUGCCAGCUCUGCACUGUCUUGAUUACUGUAGCUUUAUGGUAAGUUUUAAAAUUGGAAAGUAUAAAUUCUUCAACUUUGUUCUUUUUCAAGAUUAUUUUGGGUCCCUUACAUUUAUUUGGGUCCCUUACAUUUCCAUGUAAAUUUUGAGAACAUCUGGUCAAUUUAUGCAAAAAAGGAAGUUAGAAUUUUUUGGAGUUGUGUUGAAGCUGUAGAUCAGCUUGAGGAUUAUGUUCAUCUUAACAGUAUUUGAUACAAAAACAUGGGAUGUUUUUCUGCUUAUUUAGGUCUUCAAUUUCAACACUGUUUUAGAGUUUUCUGAAAAGUCUACCCACAUUUCUCUUGCUGAAAAACCGACUUGUCUUGUACUUCUUUUGUUAAAUGUAUUCCUAAGUAUUUUAUUCUUUUUGUUAUUAUUAUAAAGAGACUUGUUACCGUAUUUUCAUUUUUGGACUAUUCAUUGCUAGUUAUAAAAACAUAACUGGUUUUUGUAUAUUGAUCUUGUUUCUUACAAUUUUAACUUGUUUAUUAGCUCUAUUUUUUGUGGAAAAAAUAAUAUUUAGAAUCAGCUUGCCAAGGUCCCCAAAUAAAUUUGUUGAAAUUUUAAUUGGAAUUGUAUUGGAUUAUACACAAUUUAUGGUUAAGUUGCCACCUUUGUAACAUUAUAUAUCCCUAUUUAUGGUCAUAAAAUGUCUCUCCAUUUAUUUAGGCCAUCUGUAAUAUCUUUUAGCAACAUUUUAAUUUUCUACACACAAGUUUUGCACAUUGAAAUCUUUUAUUAGAUUUAUUCCUAGGUAGUUUGUAUUUUUUCUACACAUUUACAAAUGUGUCUUAAAAGGCAACUUUAAAAAACUUUUUAGUUUCACGGGUACAAUUGCAGGUUUGUUAUAUAGCUAAAUUACGUGCCAUAGAGGUUUGUUACACAUAUUAUUUCAUCACCAGGUAGUAAGUAUAGUAGCCCAUAGGUAGUUUUCAAUCCUCCCCCUCCUCCCACCUUCCACACUCAAGUAAGCCCCAGUGUUAUUGCUCCAUUCUUUUUGUCCAUGUGUACUCAAUGUUUAUCUCCUACUUAUAAGUAAGAACAUUUAAUAUUUGGUUUUCUGUUCCUAUGUUAGUUCAAUUAGGAUGAUGGUCUCCAGCUCCAUCCGUGUCCCUGAAAAGGACAUGAUCUCAUUCUUUGUCAUGGCUGCAUAGUAUUCCAUGGUGUAUAUGUAACAUGUUUUCUUUAUCCAGUCUACCAUUGAUAGACAUUUAGGAUGAAUCCACAUCUUUGCUAUUGUGAAUAGUGCUGCAAUGAACAUGUGUGUGCAUGUGUCUUUAUGGUAGAAUAAUUUUUAUUCCUUUUGUAUAUACCCAUUAAUGGGAUUGCUAGGUUGAAUGGUAGUUCUAAGUUCUUUGAGAAAUCACUGUUUUCUACAAUGGCUGAACUAAUUUAUAUUCCCACCAGCAGUGUAUAAGCAUUCCCUUUUCUCAGCAACCUUACAUUAUCUGUUAUUUUUUUUAAAAGGUAAUGUUUUGAAAUGGUUUUUGUUGUAUAUGAAAUACAAUUGCCUUUUUCAUAUUGAUCUUAUAGUCAGUAACCUUGCUAAGCUUUUGCAUUAUGUUGAGGAAUUUAUCAUCAUGGGUGGAAUCAGAGUCUACAGAGGGCUGAACAGGAAGAGCAGUAUUGGCCCUGCCAUUUCUUCUAGUCAAAGUUGAGGGGGGCAGUUAAU